AAUAGUCUAACGGCUGAACCAGCAACUUGGAGGAAUGAAUAGCUACAGCUAAUUGCACAUGUAUAUGAUGCAAUAUCGACUUAGUCGAAUAAAAUUCUGGGUAGAAUUAUGAUAAUGACAUUGUCUACUCAUGUGUCUUGACCAAAUUACGUGCCAGCAGUCGCGGUAAUACGUAGAAGACUAGUGUUAUUCAUCUUUAAUAGGUUUAAAGGGUACUUAGACGGUAAAUCAAGCCAUAGACGGGACUAAUUUGCUAGAGUUACUUGCGCGGGGGUUUUAAAGUACUAAUGGUGUAGAGAUAAAAUUUUGUAAUACCAUUUUUCGAAAGAAAAGUCAUGGCACUGGUAAAGGCGAAAGCAUCCCCUUAUGUGAUAACUGACGUUGAAGAACGAAGGCUUUGGAUCGCGAAUAGGAUUAGAUACCCUAGUAGUCAAAGCAGAAAAUUAUGAGUGUCAUAGAUUAGAGAUUAAUUUUAUUCUAUAAAUGAAAGUGUAAGCACUCCACCUCAAGAGUAAUGUGGCAACAUUGGAACUGAAAUCAUUAGACCGUUUCUGAAACCAGUAGUGAAGUAUGUUGUUUAAUCUGAUAACCCGCACAGAACCUUACCACAACUUGAAUAUUUAUAUUGAUAUAUUUACAAGCGUUGCACGGCUGUCUUCAGUUAAUGUCGUGAGACUCUGGUUAGAUCCAUAAAAUUAACGCAAGCCCCUACUUUAUUUAUAAAUAAAGUCGUUCCCCACUAUAUUGGAUAUGAUAACAGGGACUAAGACAAGCCGUCAUGGCCUUAAUGCUGU
rnacentral:rRNA from 1 species